rfam:Citrus sinensis cultivar Ridge Pineapple sweet orange scaffold00014_contig_169, whole genome shotgun sequence.
GGCCGGUGAUGUGAGAAUUUAUAUUUGCUACUCUUGAUGGGUUUGCUUUAAAUCCAUCUGAUGAUUCUUAUCCACCAAGAUCUCUGAGGUC